UGAAGUCAUUAUGGUCCGUUUUCCGCA
rnacentral:sRNA from 1 species